rnacentral:rRNA from 1 species
GUGGGGAAUAUUGGACAAUGGGGGGAACCCUGAUCCAGCCAUGCCGCGUGUGUGAAGAAGGCCUUUUGGUUGUAAAGCACUUUAAGCGAGGAGGAGGCUACCGAGAUUAAUACUCUUGGAUAGUGGACGUUACUCGCAGAAUAAGCACCGGCUAACUCUGUGCCAGCAGCCGCGGUAAUACAGAGGGUGCAAGCGUUAAUCGGAUUUACUGGGCGUAAAGCGCGCGUAGGUGGCCAAUUAAGUCAAAUGUGAAAUCCCCGGGCUUAACUUGGGAAUUGCAUUCGAUACUGGUUGGCUAGAGUAUGGGAGAGGAUGGUAGAAUUCCAGGUGUAGCGGUGAAAUGCGUAGAGAUCUGGAGGAAUACCGAUGGCGAAGGCAGCCAUCUGGCCUAAUACUGACACUGAGGUGCGAAAGCAUGGGGAGCAAACAGGAUUAGAUACCCGGGUAGUCC